rnacentral:rRNA from 1 species
AGUGAACGCUGGCGGUAGGCCUAACACAUGCAAGUCGAACGGACGCACAGUAAGAGCUCGCCCUUAAGGGUGGCGAGUGGCGGAUGGGUGAGGAAUACAUCGGAAUCUUCUUAUUCGUGGGGGAUAACGUAGGGAAACUUCCGCUAAUACCGCAUAUGACCUACGGGUGAAAGCAGGGGAUCUUCGCGCCUUGCGCGAUUGAAUGAGCCGAUGCCGGAUUAGCUAGUUGGGGGGGUAAAGGCCCACCAAGGCGAGGAACCGUAGCUGGUCUGAAAGGAUGCUCAGCCACAAUGGAACUGGGAAACGGUCCCGACUCCCACGGGAGGGAACCGUGAGGAAUAUUGGACAAUGGGCGCAAGGCUGAACCAACCAUACCCCGUGGAUGAAGAAGGACUUCGGGUUCUAAAGCCCUUUUGUUGGGAGAGAAAAGCAGCAGGAUAAUACCGCGCUGUUCUGAAGGUACCCAAAGAAUAAGCACCGGCUAACUUAGUG